CAUGACCCCCAGAUCAGACGGAGACCACCCGCU
rnacentral:rRNA from 1 species